GGUUAAGCGACUAAGCGUACACGGUGGAUGCCUAGGCAAUCAGAGGCGAUGAAGGACGUGCUAAUCUGCGAUAAGCGUCGGUAAGGUGAUAUGAACCGUGAUAACCGACGAUUUCCGAAUGGGGAAACCCAGUGCAAUCCGUUGCACUAUCGUUUGAUGAAUACAUAGUCAAACGAAGCGAACCGGGGGAACUGAAACAUCUCAGUACCCCGAGGAAAAGAAAUCAACCGAGAUUCCCCUAGUAGCGGCGAGCGAACGGGGAGCAGCCCAGAGUCUUAAUCAGCAUUAGCAUCAGGAGAACGGUCUGGAAAGGCCGGCAGUAAAGGGUGAUAGCCCCGUAUCCGAAGGUGUUAGUGUUGUGAACUCGACGAGUAGGGCGGGACACGUGUUAUCCUGUCUGAAUAUGGGGGGACCAUCCUCCAAGGCUAAAUACUCCUGAUUGACCGAUAGUGAACCAGUACCGUGAGGGAAAGGCGAAAAGAACCCCGGCGAGGGGAGUGAAAUAGAACCUGAAACCGUGUACGUACAAGCAGUGGGAGCCCCACCACCAAAGCAUUUU
rnacentral:rRNA from 1 species